AUGGAUGUCCAGCCUCCAGCAGUUUUAUCGACAAAAAUGACAAAAAUCGACAAACAUCUUGUAAAUUAAGUUAAAUUUUCUACAAAUUAGUAAAGCAUCGAGUGUUUCAAUGUCCUAUCUAAAUGAUUUACAUAUUAGAAGACUUCUCCAUAUGAUUACAUAUUCCGGACCGGAUUGCGAAUAUUCGCAGCGAGUCAAAGGAGUGCCAGACACACAUUUUAUAUAUAUGCAGUUCCUAUAAGAAAUCUGGAUUUCUUAUUUUCUUCAAGUUCCCUUUCAACAACGUGUGUACAUAUAUGCAGGUUGAAGUUUCGCGCUAUGCGAAAAUACACAUUUAAAGUAGUAAACGAAGGGAAAUGCCUCUCCUGUAAAUCGCAGCUUCGCACGCUUUGUCGGUUUAUCUGGUUUUGAAUUUAUAAAAGCAACAUCAAAAGGAAUCGGUCAAACUGGACUGUGUGCACAUGGUGAACACCUUUACACAAAGAAUAUUGCUUUCAUGAAAUUAGAACGUCGCGCAAAGGAGCUUUACAGGUCGAGUCUCAAACACGACAUGAGAUAGGAAAGUAACCGAUGCGUUUCAUUUUGCGGAAAAAAAAUUUCAUUUUCACAUUAUAUUGCAAAAUACCAAGGACGCCUAUGGAGAAAAUGCGCCUAUAGGGACACCAACUCACUUUUACCUGGAUUUUUUCUAGAUCAGGCGCAUAAUCGAAAUGUCACGGAUCGUUUGAUACAUUUCAUGAGAGUAUAACUCAUGUGUGUGUUUCCGUUUCUUUUUUUUUCUUAACGGAGCCAGAAGGUCAGGACUUGCAAUAUGUUAAUUUCAAAUACACA